UUAUGGUUUGAUUAUUUUAUUUAAAACUUAUUUUACAUAUAAAUUUUAGUAUUAAUUUUAUAUUAUUUAAAUAAUAUUCAUAUUUUAUAAGUAGUAAUUAAUAUUAAAUAUUUAAGAAAUUAAGAUUUAGUAAUGUUUAAAUUAAUAACAAAUUUUGUGCCAGCAGUUGCGGUUAUACAAAAAUUAAAUUAAAUUUUAUUGAUAAUUAAUAAAUAAUUUUUUUUUAUAAUAAAAAUUUUAAAUUAUUAGGUGAAAUUUUAAUUUAAUGAAAUUUUAUGUUAAUUUUAUGAUUUAAUAAAUUUUAUAAAAAACUAGGAUUAGAUACCCUAUUAUUAAAAUUUAAAAUUAAAAUAUCAAAAUAGUAAAUAAUUAUUUAUUGAAACUUAAAUAAUUUGGCGGUAUUUUAGUUCAUUUAGAGGAAUCUGUUUAAUAAUUGAUAAUCCACGAAUAAAUUUACUUAAUUUAUUAUUUUGUAUAUCGUUGUUAAAAAAAUAUUUUUUAAUAAAAUUAAUAUUUAAAAAUUAUUAUAUAAAUUUAAAUCAGAUCAAGAUGCAGAUUAUAAUUAAGAAUAUAAUGGAUUACAAUAAAUUUAUUUAAAUGAAUUUUAUUUUGUAAUAAAUAAUUGAAAGUGGAUUUAAAUGUAAUUUUAUUUAAUUUGAUAAAGUGAUUAAAAAUUAAAAUAUGUACAUAUUGCCCGUCGCUUUCAUAUAUUUAUAAAAUUGAAAUAAGUCGUAACAAAGUAGAGGUACUGGAAAGUGUUUCUAGAAAGAA
rnacentral:ncRNA from 1 species